rnacentral:lncRNA from 1 species
UCUUAUGUUAGUUCUAUAUUUUUGUCUUUGCUUCAGAAACUUAAGCUAUGUUUCUCGUGUGUGUGUCUGCCUGUCUCUACAGGAGCUGUCAACAAUGCCAAGAAAUCCCAGCAGCUCAACCCCAGCCUUCUUCUUGCCUUCAUGAGAAUGGGGUUCAGAUGACACUUUCCGAACGUGGCUCAAACGCUGUGAGGAGAUGAUGCGGCGAAUCAGAACGGAAACGAGAAUAAGGAGUGCUAACGGGUCUUCCUACAAUUAUUCUAUCUCUGUACCAUGCCUGUAUCUAUGUAAGUAUUGCACCAUGCACUUUUAAAGGGCCACAAUGGAAAUAAGUCAUUUACUUUAUUGUGCUAUCCCUGGAAAUGUUGCAAUUUUUAUUUAUGUUAUAUUGUGUGUAUUUUCAAACUGAAAUAAAUCAACCAACGCAAACCUUAUGACUGUAUACAGUUUUUUCUGACAUUCAGUUCCACUUUCCGCCUCAAGCUGUUGUUCCCAGCUUUCCAAACCUUACUUAUUCUGUUCUAAUUGCUAGAGCGAGCACAUCCAGUAAGCCCUGUCUCUUUCUCUCCUUUUUUGUUUGUUUAAACUUUCUCUCUUUUCCUGGGAUGCCUGGAUGCCACAGCAGACACCACACAUCAAGUAAGUAUACUUCAUGGUUGUAUUCCAAAUAUCCCCCUAUUCUCUAUAGUGCACAAAUUUUCAAAUAAGAUUGUAUUUGUCACAUGCGCCGAAUACAACAGGUGUAGACCUAGUGAAAUGCUGAAUACAACAGGUGUAGACCUAGUGAAAUGCUGAAUACAACAGGUGUAGACCUAGUGAAAUGCUGAAUACAACAGGUGUAGACCUAGUGAAAUGCUGAAUACAACAGGUGUAGACCUAGUGAAAUGCUGAAUACAACAGGUGUAGACCUAGUGAAAUGCUGAAUACAACAGGUGUAGACCUAGUGAAAUGCUGAAUACAACAGGUGUAGACCUAGUGAAAUGCUGAAUACAACAGGUGUAGACCUAGUGAAAUGCUGAAUACAACAGGUGUAGACCUAGUGAAAUGCUGAAUACAACAGGUGUAGACCUAGUGAAAUGCUGAAUACAACAGGUGUAGACCUAGUGAAAUGCUGAAUACAACAGGUGUAGACCUAGUGAAAUGCUGAAUACAACAGGUGUAGACCUAGUGAAAUGCUGAAUACAACAGGUGUAGACCUAGUGAAAUGCUGAAUACAACAGGUGUAGACCUAGUGAAAUGCUGAAUACAACAGGUGUAGACCUAGUGAAAUGCUGAAUACAACAGGUGUAGACCUAGUGAAAUGCUGAAUACAACAGGUGUAGACCUAGUGAAAUGCUUUUACUUAGAAGCCCUUAACCAACAAUACAGUUUUAAGAAGAACAAAAAAAAAUAUAUAUAUAUAUAACAAAUAAUUAAAGAGCAGCAGUAAAAUCACAAUAGCGAGGCUAUAUACAGGGUAGUGAUGCACCGAUAUGACAUUUUUGGCCGAUAUGCGAUAUUUUCCUUGCCAGAAAAACCCAAUACUGAUAUUUUAUAUUUUAGGGGUCUUUUAAGCAUUCUAGUACAGUUAAAUAGUUAACACACAGGCACAUGGAUGCUGCGGUUGAAGGCACUGCAUCUCAGUGUAAGAGGCGUCCCUACAGUCCCUGGUUCGAAUCCAGGCUGUAUCACACCCGGCCGUGAUUGAGAUUCCCAUCGGCCGGCCCACAAUUGGCCCAUCAUCGUCUGGGGUAGGCCGUCAUUGUAAAUAAGAAUUUGUUCGUAACUGACUUGCCUAAAUAAAGGUUGCACACACACACACCACAUUGACCAAAAAGUUAUUUUGUUGGCAUUUAUGCAUGUCCCCAUUUACCAGUAAAACAUAAUAAUAAAAUUUAUUUCACUUACUUGCUGUGCUGUUUUGUUGUUCAGUCGUUUCAUUCUCAUCCAGGAUUUCUAUGGAACGACGUUUGGGUCUUUGCAUGUUAAAAAAGAUAUGCGUCAAAUAACACUUUGAUGUGUCAAAUUAGCUUGUUGACCAAUCAGGACCUGAAUAUGACUGCACGUCACAUAAUCAUUUAACACAUUCAUACAUUUUUUACGUUGUUAUAACACAUUGA